GUAGGUGGCAAGCGUUGUCCGGAAUUAUUGGGCGUAAAGCGCGCGCAGGCGGUUUUUUAAGUCUGAUGUGAAAGCCCACGGCUCAACCGUGGAGGGUCAUUGGAAACUGGAGAACUUGAGUACAGAAGAGGAAAGCGGAAUUCCACGUGUAGCGGUGAAACGCGUAGAGAUGUGGAGGAACACCAGUGGCGAAGGCGGCUUUCUGGUCUGUAACUGACGCUGAGGCGCGAAAGCGUGGGGAGCAAACAGGAUUAGAUACCCUGGUAGUCCACGCCGUAAACGAUGAGUGCUAAGUGUUAGGGGGUUUCCGCCCCUUAGUGCUGCAGCUAACGCAUUAAGCACUCCGCCUGGGGAGUACGGCCGCAAGGCUG
rnacentral:rRNA from 1 species